AUGGCUUUUUGUCGGAGUGAGCUGCCCGGGCGCGCAGCAGCGCGGCGGCGGUCGCAGUAGUAGUAUUUGUGCUGUUGUCUUCUGAACUCCAAUACGCGACUCUCGUUGCUGGCUGCGCGGCUUGUCUGACCAGCUUCAGUGUCUGCAAAAUGACCAUCAAAGACCCCUUUGGCAUGACCAGCAUUACAUACGCAGGUUGACUGGUGACCCGCCCAGCUAAACCAUCAUAAACCAGCAACCAUAAACUGGGCCAAGACCACCUAAGACCAUCUUCAACCAGCUAAAACCACGCAGAACCAGCUGCCAGCAUGAGCAGGUUUUCAGCUGUCUUUUUUUUCCAGCGCAGAUUUUUUUAUGAACGAACUACACUAUGACAUUUUAAAGUGUUUUUGGAUUAUAUACUUACUAUGGAAAAAUACUACUUAAGAAUUUUAUCUUUGUUUUGGGAUGUCAUACUAUACUUUGACGAUUUUGUGUUUUGUUAACAAAAAAA